rnacentral:lncRNA from 1 species
ACUCACCACCUGGUAGCGCCCAGUCCCCGGCUGGUGGUGAUCCAUCCUGCCCGGCUCGGGAUCCGGCUUCCGACUUCACUUCCUGUGGCUCCCGCAGCGGCCGCCGAGACCUCCGCGUUGGUCGCGGUUCCGCGGAGAAGCUCCGGGGCGCCGCGCGCGCUAUUGAGCAUGCUCGGACCGCUCGCGCAGACUCGCUGGCUCCGCCGGCGUGCCAUCCG